UGCAAACUUCAGAAGUAAAAAGGAAAAUUGAUUUGAUCUUGAUUUUGCACUCGAAGCUGAAGAAAUAUAUGAGCAUUGAAGAUUCACACUAAUCAAAACACUAUAUUUUUUACCACGAACAAGGAAGAACAACUAAUACUAAAGACAGACAAUACAAGAGGAGAUAAAUUUGCACUAUUUUUGAGCUAGAACAGAGAUAUUAUGAAUCAGUUCUCGAAUAUAUGCACUUUAAGUAAGAACAAUUCAAAGAUAUAAAUAUCAUACCCAUUUGAAGAAGGUGAUCUGUUG